GAGUGGGAGAGGGAAGGGAGAGCGCAGCACAGCCAGAGAGCAGAACAGUGAUCUCCCUACUCCAGCCUGGAUCCCUACACACUUCUCAUUGAGACCAGUCCCGGAAACAGACCCUGAGGACUUAACGACACCAUCUUACCCGUCACAUACAGCCAGAAACAGCCUCAGCAGCUUCUGAUCCUUUCCUCUCCUCUUCUUUCUCUCUCUCUUCCUCCUUCGCUCUACCUGGGAGAGAGUGUUCCACCUGGCUAUCUAUGCUGACAGAGGACGGACACACGACUACCUCAGAGGACAAGUAGCAAUACCAGUCUCUGGCCCUCUUGAGCUUCUGUUCACACACAGCCAGCCAGCCAGCCAGCGAGAGAGGGAGAGAGAGGCUGCACAAAGGACCAGUUCAAAGGCUGAGGGCUCAUUUGUCAAACAAACGCAUGACAGAGACAGAGACUACAGUAUCAAAAACAGCAGAAGGCCUUGAAUAGCCAAAGGGCGACGAUUGAGGGAGUAAAAAUAAACAGAAGGAUGAUGAUGUCAUCCACUGAUAUGUCCCUCUCUCCUACUCUGUGAUAGAUAGAUA